UACGGGGGGGGCAAGCGUUGUUCGGAAUUACUGGGCGUAAAGGGCGCGUAGGCGGGAUGGCAAGUCGGUCGUGAAAGCCUUCGGCUCAACCGAAGAACGUCGGCCGAUACUGCCGUUCUUGAGGGAUGCAGAGGAGACUGGAAUUCCCGGUGUAGCGGUGAAAUGUGUAGAGAUCGGGAGGAACACCGGUGGCGAAGGCGGGUCUCUGGGCAUCUCCUGACGCUGAGGCGCGAAAGCGUGGGGAGCAAACGGG
rnacentral:rRNA from 1 species